GGUACAAUUUUUACAUUUAAGUAGUAAGUAGUCUGCGCACUCUCCUGUCUGAUGUCAGCUAUUAUUGCUGUACUACUGUAGUCUAUAAUCUGUAUCAACUGCAAUAAUUUUCAGGACAUUCAGUAUAACUAAAAAUGGAAAUAUCUUUUAAAGGCAAAAGAAUUCUCGUUACCGGUGCCGGGCAAGGUAUCGGCAGAGGAAUUGCGAUUGAAUUGUGGCGUGCAGGUGCAAAUAUAGUUGCAUUGUCACGAACUCGUUCGCACUUAGAAAGUCUUCAGAGUGAAUACCCCUCUAUAGACAUUGUAGACGUUGAUAUAGGAGAUUGGGAGAAGACGAGGAAGGUUGUUGAAUCUUUAGGUCACUUUGAUGCGUUGGUGAACAACGCAGCUGUUGCUGUAUGUGAACCAUUUUUGGACUGUUCGCCGAGCAACUUUGACAAAACGUUUGAUGUAAAUGUUAAAGCAGUCUUAAAUAUAAGUCAAGUAGUUGCAAGGAAAAUGAUUGAGAAUAAAACUCAUGGUGCCAUUGUCAACAUCUCAUCUCAGGCAUCAAAGGCUGCUCUGAAAGACCACACCAUCUACAGUGCUUCAAAAGCUGCUUUGGAUGCUCUGACUCGAGCUAUGGCUUUAGAACUAGGACCAUAUGGAAUCAGAGUAAAUGCUAUCAAUCCUACUGUGAUAAUGACUGAGAUGGCUAAAGUUGGUUGGUCAGAUCCUAUAAAAGCCAAUGAAAUGCUUUCUAAAAUACCACUUGGAAGGUUUGUAUUUAGAAAAUAUAUAUUCUGUGGGUGACCGACUCAAAAUAAUUUUGAAUUUUAUAUUUAGAAUAUAUAGCUGUAUUUAGAAACUAGCUUGAAUGCAAUUUCUCUUAGUUUCCUAAAUUUUUUAAUGUUACAAUUAUAUUAACUGCGUAUAAUAUUGCAAGUAUAUUUUAAUCUAUCUUGUUUAUUGACAGAAUAUUUAUUAUGUACAAGAUUAUAACUGUAACAAAUUAUAAAUGAACAUUGAACAAUAAUUGGCCGCUUAAAUGAGUAUUCUUAAUUAUCUUAAAUAAAGUCUAAUCUUUGAAAGGCAAGAUAACCUCUAUUGUGCACAUCUUAUAUACAAUGCCUUCCACCGAUAAGUGACCGACCAAAAAAAUGAAAAAUAUCGGGAAGAAACCCAAAAAUGUGGAGCGUAACUGGUAUAACUAACUUUAAAUAAUUUUCUUUACGCGUCUAUUUUUCACCAUAACUUCAACAAAUAUCAACUAAAAUCGUUUAAAUUUUAUUGUAUAGCUACAUACUUUAACUCAGUGCCUAAAUAAUGUAAACGUCAUUUAUGUCCAAUUACUAGAAAAAAAGCAAUGUAUAUAAACACACUUAUUCCCUUCUUUUAUACCUACAUACAAAGAACUAGUGAAACCUAGUGAGGAAAUAUAUUUUUCUUUGUUAGGAUUAGAAAUUCCCCAUCGCAUACAGAUGUAAAAAGCGCCGAAUUAAGUUGAGACAAUACUAAAUAAUGAAAUAAAUGUGCACUUAUGGUACCUAUCUGUAGAUAUUCGGUCUCAUUUAUAUUAUUUUAAGUUUAUUUAUUUACACAUUGCUUCGGGAAUAGCGAUCAUUAGCUUCUACACCAGGAGAAAUAUAUUGAUCAUUUGCGAAUGAUGAAUGGUUAGCAGUAGCCUUUGCCCACUGAGUUUCUCGCCGGAUCUUCUCAGUGGGUCGCGUUUCCGAUCCGGUGUUAGAUUCUACGAAGCAUUGCUCUUGCUAAGGUCAAUGUUAGCAUCACUCCGGUUUGAGCCCCGUGAGCUCACCUACUAGUUAAGGUUAGGCUGAAAUAGCCUCUCAAGGCUAACAGCUGAUAGGCUACUUUUUUUUCCCUACCUAAGCUUAGGUAAAAUCUUCAAAAUUCUUCAAAAACUUCAAAUUUAGUAACUGUAACUAGACUUCACUGUUUUUUUUUUUUUAAAUUUAUUUGUCGUGAAUUCUGUGAAUUAUCUUUCCCAAGAUUUCUUGGUCACAAGGUCACAAGGUCGGAAGAUAAAAAAUCGAUAUUAUAAUUAUAUUCUCGUAGUUUGUAUCACGAGAUUUUUGGAAAUAGGCAAAGAUCUGCUUCGAACUUAAACAUGAAUGUAAUGAAAUAUAUUUUAUUAAAAUGAUGUUAUAUAAACUUUUAAUAUAUGUUUUUCAGAUUUGGUGAGAUAUCCGAAGUAGUAAAUGCGGUGGUUUUCCUCCUGAGUGAAAGAUCUAGUA